UUUAAGGGUGGUGGAAUUGUAACACCCCAAAUUUGAAAAAGGGAAGAAUCAGAUUUUGGAUUAAAUUGAUCGUUUUAAAACCGUCUGAUUUCUGGAGAAUUUCAGAGCAAUUCAAAAGUUUGGGGCAGAAUCUAUAAAUAGAGAAAAGUAUGGGGACUAAAGUGUAAAAAUGGGAAAAAAGUGUGCAACUCGAUUUCAUCCUUACCGAAAUCAGAGGGAUUGUUUUUGGCAACUCGAAUCUUCAUCAUUCAACCCUAAUAUCACUUAUAUAUAUGCUAAUAUGCAUUUUGAAGCCCCAAAAAUUUAGUAGCUGAUUUCCUCGUCAAUUAGAGAUUUUUGGUGAGUUUUCGCGACCCUUUGUCAUCGUCUCCGAUUUGAAUAUUUUGGACAACUUUUGAUCGAAGUUUGUUGUGGCUUAGGUUGAUUGUACUUCACCGUGUUAGUGUUCUAGUCUUGGGUCGUGCUCAGACUCUAUCCAAGUGUUUGGUAACCUUGAUCUUCUUCCUCUUUCAAUUUUCUUCCAUGGAAGUGAGCUUAAAGCUCUUUAAUGGUGGAUUUUGUUUCAGAAGAAUUACAAUGUGAUCUAUACCUAGUUAGAAAGCUCUCUUUCAUAGGAUCCAACGCCACUGACAUAUCAUCAAACGGAAGUCGGAAUUGAUCGGAAUCUGAUUAGUGAAUUAAUUGGUGGUUUGGGAUGUGUCUAGAAUUGCCAUUAACCACUCGUUCGGUCCGAAAAUCUUUUCAGUACCAACACGUGAACAUUAUUCUAUGCGGGGAUCAUACCGUGUUGGUACUUGUUCAUCAAUU